ACACACAGGGGUUGAAACAAAAGUAUAACAUAAUGCAAUCUAAUAUAAUACUCUGCAACAAAUUGUACCUUUGUGUAGCUUACAUUCACCAGUGUUGCAGUGCUGUAUUUUGUUAAACUUCAUAAUGUGUUCACACUAAUGCGUCCUCCUGUGCCUGAGCAACACUGCGAGGAAACUCUAGCUCCAGUGUGUGUAUUGCUGAUUGCCAAAAAGAAAUACUCAAACCUAAGUGUUAAACCAACAUGUAGGGAAUUAUAACCUGAAAACUGCCUCACUGCAGGUGCUGUUGUGGAACAGCUGAUCUGAUUAUAUCAUACUCCCUCCCCUUAUCCUCUUUCAGCAUGUGAGUGAAUACAGACUCAAUAAGCAAGGAAAUGAAACAAAGUUUACUUUUUAUAAUUAGCAGAAUUUAAUUAUGUACAUCCAUUUUUGAAUUAACUCCUGGAUUGGCUAAUUUAUUCUGCUGCUGUUAAACAUGAAAAAAGACAAAAGAGGGAGAGGGACUGUUAUUGUAACAGGCAGAAAACUCAUUAGACAGAGUAGCAAAAAAGGGGUUCCAAAUGACAAGGUCAUAUUCCAGACACACAAGCUGUAAGAAGUGAGGACACUGCUAAAACUAGUCCCUUCAGAUCAAGGGCUGCUAUUCACAGACAGGAUCAAUUAAAGGCCCGCAGCCUUAAGCCUCUGGCUGCUUGUUUUGCCAGGUAAGGACGCGGGCUGUGCAUCCAAAUAAGGUCCAUUGAAUGGUUUGUGCAAAUAAGGGGCUGCUAGUGGUGGGUGAGGAAACAGAGCAAUUUAUUGACAUCCACGCAUUCUUCUGGGCGGCUUCUGAUUUAGCCACGUGACUCUAUAUAUGGCAGCUGAGAUAAUGAGUGCUAAAUUGGGCAGCAGAUUACCUAGCUGACCAAAUGACUCUAGGCAUUUCUUCAAGUUCUACUGAAGCCAUAGCCUAUAAAUACGAGCUAAAAUAUGACUAACACAGGAAAGGAAAGGUUACAUACCAUUGUGAAAAGCACAUUAAAGAAGUAAAGUGCAUUUUAAAACCUUGUGGGGAACGUUAACUCGACAACCAAACCCGCUUCCUCACCCCAAAUGAAGAGCACAAGAGAGGCUGCAGGAAUAGUUCCAAAUAUUUCCAAUAGCUGUGGCCCUGAAGCGUUUGCACUGCUAUCAAAUUUGUCCUUUAAUUCUUAAAACUAAAAUGCCAUGCCGUGUCACCAUUUAAUGUCGCCUUCUCCCACUGAUUGGAUGAGAAAAUAGAUUUAAAAAAAUAGAGCUCACGUGACUUAAAUAGAUUAGACAAUGAUAAAGUACAGGGAUUUUGGUUGGAUGUGGGAUGGGUGGUGUUCUCAAUGUGAUGUGCAGUGGUGGAAGAAGUAUUCAGAACCUUUACUUAAUUAAAAUAGUAAUACCACACUCUAAAAACACUCCACUACACAUGAAAGUCCUGCUUUCAAAACCUUACUUGCAGUAAGUAAAAGUAUGUAAGUAUUAUCAGCGACAUUUUCUUAAAGUAUCAAAAUUAAGUACUCAUUCUGCAAUAAAAUGCUGCCUGUCAGUGUUGAACUAUUA